UUUUGGACAAUGGGCGAAAGCCUGAUCCAGCAAUGCCGCGUGCAGGAAGAAGGCCUUCGGGUUGUAAACUGCUUUUGUACCCCCACGCAAAGGUCUGCCCUAAUACGGCGGGCCCAUGACGGUACCGUAAGAAUAAGCACCGGCUAACUACGUGCCAGCAGCCGCGGUAAUACGUAGGGUGCGAGCGUUAAUCGGAAUUACUGGGCGUAAAGCGUGCGCAGGCGGUGAUGUAAGACAGUUGUGAAAUCCCCGGGCUCAACCUGGGAAUUGCAUCUGUGACUGCAUCGCUAGAGUACGGUAGAGGGGGAUGGAAUUCCGCGUGUAGCAGUGAAAUGCGUAGAUAUGCGGAGGAACACCGAUGGCGAAGGCAAUCCCCUGGACCUGUACUGACGCUCAUGCACGAAG
rnacentral:rRNA from 1 species